GUGUCUUCGGACGCCGGCGUACGGCUCAGUAACACGUAGGUAACCUAACCUCAGGACUGAGAUAACCCCGGGAAACUGGGGCUAAUAUUAGAUAGAUAAAAGGUACUGGAAUGUUCUUUUAUCCAAAGCUUUUGCGCCUGAGGAUGGGCCUGCGUCCGAUUAGGUUGUUGGUGGGGUAAUGGCCCACCAAGCCUACGAUCGGUACGGGCAGUGAGAGCUGAAGCCCGGAGUUGGGGACUGAGACAAGGCCCCAGGCCCUACGGGGCGCAGCAGGCGCGAAACCUCUGCAAUGCGGGAAACCGUGACAGGGGGAUCCCAAGUGCUCAUGCAUUGCAUGGGCUGUUCUUUGGUCUAAGUAACCAGAGGAGUAAGGGCUGGGCAAGACCGGUGCCAGCCGCCGCGGUAAUACCGGCAGCUCAAGUGGUAGCCGCGAUUAUUGGGCCUAAAGCGUUCGUAGCCGGAUAAGUAAGUCUUUGGUUAAAUCCUGCAACUUAACUGUGGGAAAUCUAGGGAUACUGCUUGUCUUGAGACCGGGAGAGGUUAGAGGUACUCCUAGGGUAGGGGUGAAAUCCUGUAAUCCUAGGGGGACCACCUGUGGCGAAGGCGUCUAACUGGAACGGGUCUGACGGUGAGGGACGAAACCUAGGGGAGCGAGCCGGAUUAGAUACCCGGGUAGUCCUAGGCGUAAAUGAUGCGAGUUAAGUGUGGGGGCAUCUACGAGAUGGCCCUGUGCUGUAGGGUAGCCGUUAAACUCGCCGCCUGGGGAGUACGGUCGCAAGGCUGAAACUUAA
rnacentral:rRNA from 1 species